rfam:Pteropus alecto contig16300, whole genome shotgun sequence.
GUCUCCGGCCACGCCACCCUGAGCAAGGCCGAUCUCGUCUGAUCUCGGAAGCUAAGCAGGGUCGGGCCUGGUUAGUACUCGGAUGGGAGACCACCUAGGAAGACCGGGCGCUGUAGGCG